UACGUAGGUGGCGAGCGUUGUCCGGAAUUAUUGGGCGUAAAGAGCUCGUAGGCGGUUUGUCGCGUCUGCUGUGAAAACUCGGGGCUUAACUCCGGGCCUGCAGUGGGUACGGGCAGACUAGAGUGCGGUAGGGGAGACUGGAAUUCCUGGUGUAGCGGUGAAAUGCGCAGAUAUCAGGAGGAACACCGGUGGCGAAGGCGGUUCUCUGGGCAUGACCUGACGCUGAGGAGCGAAAGUGUGGGGAGCGAACAGG
rnacentral:rRNA from 1 species